UUUCCGUAGGUGAACCUGCGGAAGGAUCAUUAUGAAUGUAUAUUUUACAUACCUAACCACUCUCGCAUACGCUUUGCUCUUUUACUCGGCAAGCCGAGUAACUGCGUAGGGCCGUAUCGAUAGUAAAAGUCAAUCAUUAAUAACUGUAACAUUACAAAACACAAUACACACAUGAGCACCUUGCUGCAAUGGAUCUCUCGGCUCUU
rnacentral:misc_RNA from 1 species